rnacentral:rRNA from 1 species
AUUGAACGCUGGCGGCAGGCUUAACACAUGCAAGUCGAGCGAGCGGCGGACGGGUGAGUAAUGUCUGGGAAACUGCCUGAUGGAGGGGGAUAACUCCUGGAAACGGUAGCUAAUACCGCAUACCAUCCGAUGUGCCCAGAUGGGAUUAGCUAGUAGGUGGGGUAAUGGCUCACCUAGGCGAAGAUCCCUAGCUGGUCUGAGAGGAUGACCAGCGAAACUGGAACUGGGACACGGGCCAGAAUACUACGGGAGGAAGCAGGGGGGAAUAUUGCACAAUGGGCGCAAGCCUGAUCCAGCAAUACCGCGGGUGUGAAGAAGGCCCUAGGGUUGUAAAGCACGUUUGUUAGGGAGAUGUUACCUAAAGAAUAAGCACCGGCUAACUCCGUGCCAGCAGCCGCGGUAAUAC